CUACUUGUCAAUCUUUGGUGCAGUCCAAUAGGGAGGGCAUUGCAGGUGAUAUUUGAAAGCCCUGCAGUGGCUCCUAUUGGUCAUUACCAGAUGAUUGACAUC
rnacentral:pre_miRNA from 1 species